rnacentral:rRNA from 1 species
UACGUAGGGUGCGAGCGUUGUCCGGAAUUACUGGGCGUGAAGAGCUCGUAGGUGGUUUGUCGCGUUGUUCGUGAAAACUCACAGCUUAACUGUGGGCGUGCGGGCGAUACGGGCAGACUAGAGUACUGCAGGGGAGACUGGAAUUCCUGGUGUAGCGGUGAAAUGCGCAGAUAUCAGGAGGAACACCGGUGGCGAAGGCGGGUCUCUGGGCCGAUACUGACGCUGAGGAGCGAAAGCGUGGGGAGCGAACAGG